rnacentral:lncRNA from 1 species
CAGAGUAUGCAAGUUAAAAUAUCAGAAAUGUGGUCUGAUGUAAAGUAGUUUCUCUUUCCAGUUGGAGACUUGAACAUAGUGAAAUGGACUACCAUCGGCCAAUAACAAACCAUCAAGAAAGCACACAACUAGACUUUAUUUUCCUGAUACACAUAUGGCAUAGACAGGUGCCCUACUUUGUGAUGGGAACCUUACUAGGACUCCUGCCGGCCUUCUCAGAAUUUUAUGAUGACUUUGAAAUACAUCAUCCAAUGUUGCUCUAACUCCCUGUAGUGCAUUUGAAAGAGCUGGCAUCACAA